rnacentral:rRNA from 3 species
UACGUGAAACCGUUCAGGGGUAAACCCGAGAAACCCGAAAGUUCGAACGGAGAGAUUCAUCGGUCGAGACGUCGAGAGAGCGGUUCCGGUGAGCGACGGACGGCGUUCGCGCGUCGUCCGUGUUCCCGUCGAGCCGUGUAUGCUCUCGCGUAUCCCGUGCACUUCUCUACCCAGUAGGACGUCGCGACCCGUUCGGAACCGGUCUACGGCCGGCGUCGCAGUCCGUGCGAUCCUCCUCGCGGAGGUGUCGCGCGGUGUCGCCGUGUCUUCCCGAUCGGAGCCGGACGGUAGUCAGUGGCGAACGGCCGCGAUUGUGCGCGUUCGUGCUCUCGCAAACGCCGGCGUGCGUCGAGUGAGCGGACUCAGCGCCGCUCCUCGUCCCGACCGAGUUGUUGGCGUGGAGAUUUCUCGAACAGACCGUUAAUCGAAGCCCGUCCGCGACGCUAACGCUUUGGGUACUCUCGGGGCCCGUCUUGAAACACGGACCAAGGAGUCUAGCAUGUACGCGAGUCAAUGGAAUGCGAAAUCCAAAGGCGAAAUGAAAGUGAAGACGAACCUUUACGGUGCGUCGAGGGCUGAUGGUCGCGCCUUCGGGCCGGCCCGCAAGCCCGAGGCGUCCGCGACUCAUCGCGAGUCGGGGCGCACUCAGAGCGUACACGCUGGGACCCGAAAGAUGGUGAACUAUGCCUGGUCAGGACGAAGUCAGGGGAAACCCUGAUGGAGGUCCGUAACGAUUCUGACGUGCAAAUCGAUCGUAAGAACUGGGUAUAGGGGCGAAAGACCAAUCGAACCAUC